UAAGAUCCUUAGUUUUAUUUAGUACAAUAUAAGUCUAAGUCGAUCGGAAGUCGUUUUGCACUUGGCAUCUUCCACCAAGAGGCAUAAUCUUUGCAGCUGGUGCGUGUUGAUGCCACUUGGGGAAGAUGCAAGGUCGCAUUCGCCGGUGCCCCAAGUGCACUUAAUCACAUGGAAGUGCCGGCCACCCAACUGCCAUGGGAAUGAGGAUGGAGAUGGGGAUGGGAAUGAGGAUGAGGAUGGAUUUGAGUUGGAGGCAUGUGGCAGGUGUCCAUGCAACCACUUUUGGCGACAGUCGUUUGUCGUUUGUGGCGCGUUGACGUUCACGGCACGUACACAACGCGUCGGCCAGAGGCAACGGCAACGACAACGGCUUAAACGAUGCCAAGUGGCAAGCGGCGUUAGCCUGGCCUGAACCUUAGCGUAGGCAAAAGGGCUAAAGCGCAACAUGGCCAGAACCCUUCAAAUGACGAGAAGAUGCUGCUUCAUGUGCUAAUUGCGCUGUCAAGUCAAGUGUGCGUGUAUGUGUGUGUGUGUGACAGAGAGAACGAAACAAGAGACAGAAAGAGAGAGAGCGAGCACAGACGGAAGCAACAGCUCAAAUGCCAAAUGAGACACCCACACACACACACAUUUAUGUCGUGAAGAGAAUAUUUGUUGCAUACUUUGCGCGGCCGCAGCAGCAACAUUUUCCGCUCUCGACAACAGGCAAGCCACCCAAAGAAUUUCCCUUAACAACAACAAUUGUCGCUGUUAAGCAUUUUCCCAUAUUCAUUUCGCAUUUCGCAUUUCACCCAAAUCAAUUCCAACUCAAAUGUUCCGCGGCCCAUUGAACACACACUGUCUCUCUCUCUUUCUCUCUCUCUCUCUUUCUCUAUUCUCUGCUCAAAUUCUAUUGUUUCUAUUCCCAAUUCUAUUACGCUCGUUGUGAUCCAUUUUCAGUGUGUUUUUUAGCAGCAAAAAAGCAGAAUCGUUAGCGAAAAAUGCCAAAAGGAAAAACAAACAACAUUUUAUCGGCAUGUAGAGAUAAAGCGCCGGCAACAACAACAUUGCAGCCGAAACAGUAACAGAAACAGAGACACAUGCCACAGCCACAGCCACAGGCAGAGCCACAGCGAAUGGCCAAAAUCGAUUUUUCCAACCCUCAACAUGUGGCUGCAGCAAAACUGCGAAACUCUGCUCUGAACUCAACGCGACUCUCUGUCUAGGCCCUGAGUUAAGUUCUGGUCUGAGGCUGUCUGAGUGCCCCAAAUGGCGGCACAAAAACAACAAAUGCAAAAGACGAACGGAGAACAAAAAUAACUAAAAACCAUUUCCAGACAGCAUUUGCAAAUCUAUAUUCUACUCUUCUACCAUUUCAUUUCAUUAAUAUUUCAAAAAAAGAGCAUUGUAGUUAAAGUCACUUUGGAUUAUCUAAUCAGAAAAUAUUUGAUGUUCAAUACAAAUUUGUGUAAAUUAUAAAUAUAAAAACACAAUUUUAUUAUAUUUCCAAAGACAGUAACACAACAAUAUUCUGUUGUAUUGUUUCUUCACUUUUAAAUAAAGUAUUCCUUAAAAAAAAGGAACAAAAUUCAGAUCUCAGAAAAGAAAUAAAGCAAUUUUAAUUUUGAAGAAAAAAUGUAAGAAAUCUUAAAGAAUUUUUAAUACACAUUUGGGAAUAAUAAACAAAAGUUCCUUAUAGAAAAGUUAUAUUUUCGAAAUCAGGGAAAUAUUUCUUCCUCCUUAAACGGACCUGCAUAAAAUCGAGUUCAUAUUGCAGUGAAAUCCAAGUACUGUUGUUAUUACUCUCGCUACUUGAUAACCUUUAAGAGUCUCGUGCAAGCUGCACUUCAACCCCCGAGAAAAAAAACAGAAAAAGGCCGAAAAACUUUUAUCACAGAGUUUUUCUGGUACGUCAUCCCCUUUUUGUUAUCACAUCAGGGGUGAACGUUAAAGUUUUGCCCCCACUGAUUGAAUAGACCAACUAAGGCAAUAGAUGGAUGAUAUAAAAUGUGUGUGCUUUUCAAUAUAAGACUGAUGGGGGUUGGCUCCCCGCAUAUUGCCUGCACUACACAACUUUCUCAGGUAAUUAGAUAUUACGGGGUUGUUGACGUUCCCACAGAAGAAGA